rnacentral:rRNA from 1 species
UACGAAGGGGGCUAGCGUUGCUCGGAAUCACUGGGCGUAAAGCGCACGUAGGCGGAUUGUUAAGUCAGGGGUGAAAUCCUGGAGCUCAACUCCAGAACUGCCUUUGAUACUGGCGAUCUCGAGUCCGGGAGAGGUGAGUGGAACUGCGAGUGUAGAGGUGAAAUUCGUAGAUAUUCGCAAGAACACCGGUGGCGAAGGCGGCAUCCUGGACCGGUAUUGACGCUGAGGCGCGAAAGCCAGGGGAGCAAACGGG